CAGUGGUGGAAAAUUACUUAGACAAGAGUAUUUCCACAACUCUUGUCUUCGAACUUGUUAGGCAAUCACAUGUACCUACGGGGGAAGGAUGGCCAGCCUCACAGGAGGGUGAUUUUUAACUGAGGAGAAGGAGGCCAUGCUGACCGAGAUGCAAGCUGACCAUUUUGGAGUGAAGCACAUGAUUGCCAACAUCAACAUACUCUUGUUUUGGCAUUUGGCAUUUGACAUGGGAUUGUCAAGAAUGUGGACAGCUGAGCAAGUGAAAUAACCUUUUGUUUAUCGAUCACAUUCUAUUAUAUCUGAAAUUAUUAUGAUUUCAUAUCAGAGAACAUAAUAUUUCAAUUUGUCACCUUGUGCUUAAAAGUCAGUACCCUGUCUAGCCUGACAGAAGUUUGAUAGGGUGAAGACUUUGAGAGGGUGAAGGAGUUGAAGCCCAUCAGUAGUUUUACCACGGCACAUGAUCGGUAAGUGUCACAGUUCAAAUUUUGCCCUGAUACGUUGUUUUGUUAUGGUCGCUUUAUUUGAGUACUCACCAUAUCGCCUGCUGUYUGGACGGGAGCUGCAGCUGUUGACUGAGGUGAACAAAGCAAUUGUAAAUACAAUUAUUGUAAGUCGCUCUGGAUAAGAGCGUCUGCUAAAUGACUUAAAUGUAAAUGUAUUUCAAAUACAAUAUUUCACUAUUUCAAAUUUGUCAUUGACUUUGUGUUGUUUGUCUAUUGCUAUUUUUGUAUGACAUACUUUCAGAUCACUGAAACUCCACGUGAUGUGAUGGAAGUUGUCGAACCAGAUCAGAACGCCUUCGAGGACAACCUUCAGYCACAGSAUGAGAAGGAUGUGGAGGUGAGAUUGAACAAGGAGAAACAGAAGGACAGCUACCAGAGGAGAAUCAAGGAGGGGACCGAGAGGUUUUUCCAAAUAGUAAAUCUCAAGGGUCACGUUAAGUAACCUCCGCUGCCAGGACCUAGGGGUUCUGCCCAAAACCCYGAUGUGGAUCCACCU